rnacentral:rRNA from 1 species
UACGGAGGGUGCAAGCGUUAUCCGGAUUCACUGGGUUUAAAGGGUGCGUAGGCGGGUAAGUAAGUCCGGGGUGAAAUCUCUGAGCUUAACUCAGAAACUGCCGUGGAUACUAUUUGCCUUGAAUAUUGUGGAGGUGAGCGGAAUAUGUCAUGUAGCGGUGAAAUGCUUAGAUAUGACGUAGAACACCAAUUGCGAAGGCAGCUCACUACACAAUCAUUGACGCUGAGGCACGAAAGCGUGGGGAUCAAACAGG